CUCUUGCAACCUAACUGAGUAUGAAGUAUCAUUAAUGAAAGUAAAAGGAAUAUAUGUUAAGUCCGAGUUAUCUCAAUCACUAUUGUUAUGCCAUCUACUAUCAGUUAGCUAUACGUUCUUUCAUCUAGCUAGUAUCAUGAUGAGAAAUGAAAAGACGUCUUGGCUUUCCCGUGAAGAUAAUACUCCCAAAGGUGAUCUCGACUAAACGUGUUUUGAGUAUAAAACAACUUCAGUAAAAUUACUUAAUCGAUACGUUCAAUGAUUACACAAAUGCACCUCUAUCAUAAUCAUAUUCAUGUUCAUGUAUUGUGUUAUCCUAUAUAUAGCUUCCUCAUGUCAACCAACAUUUUGCUGUUUUCAAGUAUAAAUUAAAUCCUUGGAACGAGAGGCAUGUGAAGCA